GCGGCAGGCUUAACACAUGCAAGUCGAACGCAUCCUUCGGGAUGAGUGGCAGACGGGUGAGUAACACGUGGGAACGUGCCCUCCGGUCUGGGAUAACCCUGGGAAACUAGGGCUAAUACCGGAUACGUGCUUUGGCAGAAAGGUUUACUGCCGGAGGAUCGGCCCGCGUCUGAUUAGCUAGUUGGUGGGGUAACGGCCUACCAAGGCGACGAUCAGUAGCUGGUCUGAGAGGAUGAUCAGCCACACUGGGACUGAGACACGGCCCAGACUCCUACGGGAGGCAGCAGUGGGGAAUAUUGGACAAUGGGCGCAAGCCUGAUCCAGCCAUGCCGCGUGAGUGAUGACGGCCUUAGGGUUGUAAAGCUCUUUUCUCCGGGACGAUAAUGACGGUACCGGAGGAAUAAGCCCCGGCUAACUUCGUGCCAGCAGCCGCGGUAAUACGAAGGGGGCUAGCGUUGCUCGGAAUCACUGGGCGUAAAGGGCGCGUAGGCGGCGUUUUAAGUCGGGGGUGAAAGCCUGUGGCUCAACCACAGAAUGGCCUUCGAUACUGGGACGCUUGAGUAUGGUAGAGGUUGGUGGAACUGCGAGUGUAGAGGUGAAAUUCGUAGAUAUUCGCAAGAACACCGGUGGCGAAGGCGGCCAACUGGACCAUUACUGACGCUGAGGCGCGAAAGCGUGGGGAGCAAACAGG
rnacentral:rRNA from 1 species